AGAAAGGCCAGUAGGACAUGUUAGUGUCAUUUGAAUCUGGAAACAGUCUGGGAAUAAAGUGAGAACUCAUGAUUUUUUCCGGUUUAAUAUUUCUGUCUAGAUGAGCCAGAAUCCUCAGAAAUGACUUCCACAAAGACUGACUCCAAAAGUGACACUGGAAACUCAACUAUGCCCAACCCUCUUCCUGCCGAAUUUGAGGCAGCUGGCCCUGGAUUCAUCUCUUCACCGGUUCCCCAGGAUAGAGGCCCCAGAAGCCUUCCCUUUGCAGGGCAUCCAAGAAGUCCCAUUAUGAGAAGGCCACCCCCAUUCCCAGCACCUCCUCCAGGAAACAUGCAUGCAGAUCCGCCAGGUUAUUUAACACCAAGGCACUUCAAUGGCCCAUAUUUACUGCCUGCAUGUCCUCCAGAUCGUUUUCAUCCAAGGGACUUUCCUGGCCCACCUUUCCUGCCAUACCCAGUUGAGCCAGAAUCCUUAGAAAUGACAACCAUGAAGAAUGACAGAAAAAGUGACCCUGAAAAGUCAACUCUGCCCAACACUCCUCCUCCUGAAUUUGAGGCAGCUGGCAAUGGCUUCAUCUCUCCACCGUUUCCCCAGGAUAGAGGCCCCAGAGGCCCUCUCUUUGCAGGGGAUGCAAGAAGCCCUGUUAUGAGUAGGCCACCCCCAUUUCCUCCACCUCCUCCAGGAAACAUGCAUGCAGGGCCUCCAGGUUAUUUUACAUCAAGGGAUUUCGCUGGCCCACCCUUCCCACCUGCAGGUCCUCCAGAUUAUUUUUCUCAGAGGGACUUCGCUGGGCCACCUUUCCUGCCAUACCCAGGCCAACCAUAUUCUGAUGCUGCUCUAAAAAGGCAAUCUAGACAUCAUUCUAAGUCUGGUAGACUCCGUGGACGAGAACAACCCAGAAAGUAUAUGCCUCCUUUACUUGAAGUGGAUGAGCCAUUAUCCCCAGAAAUGACUUCCACGAAGAAUAACAGAAAAAGUGACCCUGGA
rnacentral:lncRNA from 1 species